UUCACUUGACGAAACCACCGAAGCUAAAGUUCAACUGUUUAGCUAAUUUCAAAAUUUCAAAAUGUCAAUGUUUUUCCAUCUUUUUUCCCGUCUUAUUAUUUUCCACUUCAAACAAAGGAACAUUUCAUCGUGGAUUGACCAACUUCAUGAGGUGUGACGUGAUACGGCUGCCACCUCACCUGUGUCCUUCUGGAGGAGAUAAGUGGGACUAAGGGGAUGUCAUAACAUAUACCGGAAGAAAAUGAGACGGAUGAGAUGAAUUAUAAAUAUGUGAACGUACUGGAACCAUCCUGAGUCCGUCCCAACCACUUCCCCUCUGGGUUUCCUUGUACACGGAUGAUGUCCAGGCACUCGCCCUGCUUCAGACCAAGGUCAGUUUUAUUGCCUCUGCAGUCCACACAGGACUUACCCCGGUGGACGACC